rnacentral:rRNA from 1 species
UACGAAGGGGGCUAGCGUUGUUCGGAAUUACUGGGCGUAAAGGGCGCGUAGGCUGUGCUGUAAGUCAGGCGUGAAAGGCCCGGGCUCAACCUGGGAACUGCGCUUGAUACUGCGGCGCUUGAAGACGGGAGAGGAUGGCGGAAUUCCCAGUGUAGAGGUGAAAUUCGUAGAUAUCGGGAGGAACACCAGUGGCGAAGGCGGAGACCUGGGCCGAUACUGACGCUGAGGUGCGAAAGCGUGGGGAGCAAACAGG